AUGCGCGGUGAAUGCGCGUCGUGGGCAUGCCCGCCCCCGCCGCGGACCCGAUCCGCCCAGCUGCCUGAGAUAAAGUGCGUCCCCUACCCACCAGACGCGGCAUUGAAGGCGGACGCGUGGGCAGUAACGGCAGGGCGAGACGCGGCGAGUAGCAGCUCAGGAGGCGUUUUCGGAACGACCGACACCUCCCGCGGAUCCCGCGCCGGCCUGCCCGGCGGCGGAGGCGGAGGGGUGGCAAGCGCCCGAUCCAGAUCUAGGUCCGGCGCCUUGGACGGGGAAGGCGGGAAGGCCCACAGCAGGACAGGCGCAGCAAGGCCAUGGGGAGGGCACCGGGGCGAGCAAGGGUGGGUGGCCAGAGGCGCCGGAGUGGCGGCCGCCGUGGAGGACUGGUGGGCUACUGGGACGGGACGGCGGUCGCCGCGAGAGCGAGACCGGGGGCGAGCCAUCCCAUUGGGGAGAGUUGUUUCCGGGGCAAAAAGGAGAAGGGCGAAUGGAGGUGGUGGUAGCCUGGUGAUCACUUUGUUGUUUCGUUUCCGGAGGGUCGCUGGGGAAAAGAGGCGAUUGAAACGACGAGGAAAUGGCGGCCGGCCUUCAGCCUUCUGGUGCGUGCGUGGUACAUCUAAUCAAGUGAGAAAAGUAGUUAGCAGGUUGACCAGGCGUCCAAGGCGCAUUCAUUACUCCAGGCUCCGGCUGACAGCCGACGUUUUUACUAGCCGGAGUCUCGCCGGAGGUCGGCAGGGGACAAACGCCCGUGGUGACGGUGGAGAGAGAGAGAGAGAAAGCUAG
rnacentral:rRNA from 1 species